rnacentral:rRNA from 1 species
CGACCGGCGUAUGGGUGAGUAACGCGUAUCCAACCUGCCCUUUACUAUGGGACAGCCCGUCGAAAGGCGGAUUAAUACCGUAUGUUGUCAUGUUGAUGCAUAUUUUCAUGACCAAAGGCUUCGGCCGGUAAAGGAUGGGGAUGCGUCUGAUUAGCUUGCCGGCGGGGUAACGGCCCACCGGGGCGACGAUGCGUAGGGGUUCUGAGAGGAAGGUCCCCCACACUGGUACUGAGACACGGACCAGACUCCUACGGGAGGCAGCAG